rnacentral:lncRNA from 1 species
CGUUUAUUUCUCUUAACUUGGCCGUCUCCAGUUCCAUUCAUUUCCCUGUAAAUGACACAAUACCGUUUGUCUCCAUAACUGAAUAAAACUCUACAUAUGUAUGUUUGCCAUAUUUUUUGUAUCCCUGCAUCUGUUGACUUUCACAAGACUUAAACCAAGACAAAUAUUAAAAAAGUCAAUGAAAUUCAGAUUAACAACAAUUUAAGAACAGAUUCCAAGUAUAAUAUAAAAAAAGCUACACACACAUAGAGAAACAGGCAGACAUACACUCACACACGUACAUGCACACAGCCAUCACUGUAGAGCAAAAUGCAUUAUUCUGCAAGAUGAAUUUAAUCAUGUCUUCAGCAUCUGGGUCAGAAUCAAAACCUCCCUGGUACCUCAGAACUUCUCUUUUUCUCCCCCUAGGUCAUUUUCUUUCCAUUUCUUUUUGUGAGUGUAGGGUGUGUGUUGGGGCUCCGGUCACACGGGGCAAGUACUCUCAAACUUCACAUAGACUGCCUUCCACUCAGCUGCUGCCUGCAGUGCCUCCACUGGCCUGCUGGCACCGAACUGUAAUCUGUUUCCGUUUCAUGUGGCGUUUCUGAGUUUUGGCUUCUACCAACAUGGCUUUGGUGACCACAUGUGGAGCUAGGGUUGUGCAUAUGCACAGAAGCAGACGUGAGCAGGCAGAGGUCACGUGUUCAUGUGGAUUUGUCCUGCUUAGCAGAGCACAGGGGCCACAGAUGUUGCAUGUCCUUGCCAACAGCUGGUACUGUCCGUCUUUUUAAUUUUAUCCAUUCUGGGGGUGUUCAGGGACUAUCUUCCUGUAAUUUCACUGUUGGGUACUGUUCCACAUGCUUGUGUACCAUCUUUGUCAGUUUUUCCUUUCAUAGUUUUUCCAUAGUCAUUAAAACUGGCUAUCUUUCUUUUUCUUAUUAAUUGGUAUCACUUUUUAUAUUUUAUGAAUUUGAGGCCCUAGGUGGAUAUGUUGAUAAUUCUUAAUUUUAAAUCAUGUCCACCACUUUGAAGACAGUCUGUGUAUUCGUCUAGAACUUUCACUACCUCACAGAAUUGUAGUCCAUCUGGAAAUGAUUUUUGGUGGAGGGUGAGGUAGGGUUUGAGACCAUUUGUCCACAGCCUGCAUUUCCAGUUGACCUAGCACUGUUGCGUAAUAGGCAAAGAUGUGUCACAUUGGUUUCUGCUGUGGAAUAUGACUUUAACUGUGUAAAGGUGUGUCACAUUUGUUUCUGCUGUGGAAUAUUUAACUGUGUAAAGGUGUGUCACAUUUGUCUCUGCUGUGGAAUAUUACUUUAACUGUGUAAAGGUGUGUCACAUUUGUCGAUGCUGCAUUUGUUUAAUGAUGUAAGGAUGUGUUACAUUUGUUUGUGUUGCAUUAGUUUAAUUGUGUAAAGAUGAGUUGCAUUUGUUUUACCUUGCCUUCCUAAAGUAGGAGGAGAAAUCUAGGCGAGAGAGACAGAGAGAGACAGAGACAGAGAAAGAGAGGAGGAGGAGGAGGGAGAGGAGGAGGAGGAGGAGGAGGACGAGGACCAGGAUGAACGAAGAGAUUGAGGGAGAAAGAGAGGGACAUGCCCAGGACCAGAACCCAGGCAGCUGCCAUCCAGCCAGACACGAGAAGCAGUGAAAGUAAGAUAUACAAAAGGAAAGAAAGGUAAAAAUCCCCAAGGCAAAAUGUAGAUAAAGACAACCAGAUUAAAAUAGGAACUAAGUAAGGCUGACCUUUCAUAACCAAUAAGAAGUGUACAUAUCAUGAUUUGGGAUCUGGUUGGUGGCCUAGAAGAAAGCCUGCCAUACAGCACUCCUCACCGGAGGGACCAUUCCUCAAUGCUCUACACUGCUGGUGUAAGUAAGAUGACGAUAGGAAGGGUAGCUUCUGGUCAGCUUCUAGGUCCACAGGUUUUGUCAGCAUGUGGUAUCACACUGUCUUAGGUUAUUCAUAAUUUGUCUUUGGAUCUUGUCAUAUGAACCCUUUGGUUUUGUUAAGACUUGGUUGACUAUUCUCAGCCAUUUGCAUUUCUAUAUGAGUUUUAGAUUUAGGUUGUUAAUCUCAUCAGAAUAAUUAAAGCUGCUGGCUUUCUCCCUUUCCCAUCUGGUCAGUCUUGGAAGUUCAGCCCAGUUCCCACCUGAUCAGUCCUGGAGGUUCGGCCUAGUUCUCACUUGCUUGGUCCUGGAGGUUCAGUCCAGUGCCCUCAGCAAGGGCUCACACUAAGCUCUUCCCCUUGGCAGUGCCUGCGAAAGUUUUGCAGAUACAUUUGGGAACUGAUUGUCUCUGUGAUACCUAUUCUUUCAGCUCAGACUAUAUCUCAUAACCCAUUUAAAGUUUCACUAUGUUCAAUAAUGUUUUAUAGUAUUCUAUAGAGAAGUCUUAUGUGUUUUCUGUGGUUAUUCCCAGACAUCCUUUUUAAAGUUUGUUUUAUUUUUGAUUACACAUGUGUCUGUGUGACUGUGUGCCUAUGAAUUCAGGGGAAGGGCAGUGGUGUUCAAUCCCCUUGGGCUAGAAUUAUAGGCAGUUGUGAGCUCUCUGCUGUGGGUGCUUGGAACUGAACUCUCUCCUCUGUAAGAACAGUCUUUGCUCUUAACUCUUAUCUCUUUAGCUCCCAGAUAUCUUUUUUUGGGGGGGGGCGAAGUGGAGCGGGGUGGAGACAGGGUAUUAUGUAGUUCUGGCUGUCCUGACAGCUCUGGCUGUCUCAAUGUAGACCAGGUUGGCCUCAAACUC